GACAGAGGGUGCAAACGUUGUUCGGAAUUACUGGGCGUAAAGAGCGUGUAGGCGGCCAGGUAGGUCUGCUGUGAAAACUCGAGGCUCAACCUCGAGACGUCGGCGGAAACCAUCUGGCUAGAGUCCGGAAGAGGAGAGUGGAAUUCCUGGUGUAGCGGUGAAAUGCGCAGAUAUCAGGAAGAACACCCGUGGCGAAGGCGGCUUUCUGGGACGGUACUGACGCUGAGACGCGAAAGCGUGGGGAGCGAACAGG
rnacentral:rRNA from 1 species